GCUUCUUUGAAAGCUCAUUGAGGAAGGAAGAAGAGAGAGAGAGAGGAAGACAGACGAGAAGCACACACGAGGGUAUAACUGUGCCGAUCCUGUCGCUCUCGAUCCGUCAGGAUGUGGGCUUCGCCUAUCGCGUAAUCGCGUGCCCUUGACACGUACGCUGGCAGUUGAUGCGUUUAAGUUUGCAAUAGCAUACGAAAAAAGUCUUUUGUGCAGCUAAAUUGAUCAAAAAUAGUAUUUGUUAUAUAAAUUAUAAUUAAACUGUGUGCGCAAGUGUUUGAGUUGAGACUAAUAUAGAGGUUUAGUGAUCCAUGAGUUUAGAUGAAUUUUUCAGUAAAUGUAUGCAAUAUCCACGAUUGAAAACAAUUUAAUUUAUAUAGCAAUUCUUUCGACGCAUCGGAAAAGUUGGCGCAAAAUUUCAUCCUUUGGACAUCUUUUGUGGCAUCGUGUUGAUGUCACGUUGUCUGAAUUUGUAAUUUUUUAUUUACAAUUGGGAUGCGCUUUUGCAUUCUCGAUUUAUUCGAUGCUAAUUCUACUCUUGCACAUCUCCUUCAAUUAAUUAUCAUAAUGGAAGAUACACAUUGUCGAAUGCGAUAGCGAUAGAGAGAAACGUGUCACAUGAUGAUGAAGAACCACCCGCAGGUGCCAUGCGUCCGGUAUCUGCGUCGCACGUGCGACGUUAUGCGUAUGGUGAGGUAAUGGUGCGUAGACGCACGUAAAUGCGUGCACAGUACCAUUCAUGCAGACUCGUGGCGAACCUGAUUUAACAGAAAUUAUAUCUCACAGUCAAUUUUCUAUGAAGCUUAUGGGAAUCAUCGUCGCAAGAUUUGACGAACGCAUUUUUGACAGAUCUCCAAUUCAUCUGAAACUCGACAUUGAUGACAUCCGCUUUUUCCGUUGCAAUGAAAAAUAUUUGAUUCGUCAAGGAUGUAAAAUGAGCAUGGCCAAAUGAAUAAAAAUAAUCAAAUAAAAUUAAAAUCAAGUUACGAUAUCAUCAACAAUCAAGGCGACCAAACCACAGACUCUUUGUAAGUUUGAACGUAUCUCCUAAAUGCGUAAAUAAAAAUCAGUGGGAUCAUUUGCAUACUGUACUUAAAGCAGACUCAUCUACGUUAGCGAAUCUAUGAACGAUACCGUGUGUCAGUGAACUGUCCAAAUCGGUUUUGGAGUCUCUCUUUCUCUUCACUUUCAUUUUCGCUGUCGAAUAAAGAGACGUUUUUACGAGGCGCGCUUAAUGGCUCAAAGAUGAAAAGUCGUUCCCGCGUGGGCGUGACGAGACGCGAUCUGUUGCGUUACAAAUAUCCCACGUAAUAUGCAUUAAGUCAAUAGAUUACUGUAAUACAGAACAAUAGAGGUACAUACGUACAUACGAAUCUUCGAGAGCGACGAAUUUGGAAUAAAGAAGAGAUUUGGAAUAAAUAUAUUGAAUAUAUUGAAACCGAAAGAUAGAACGCGUUUGUCAUUCUUGUUUUCACCAUUGACGUAAAUGACGUUAUUAUACAAAAAUAAAAUCGAAAUUUAGAAAAAAAACAAUUAAUCACGAGAAGUCAAACAUCAUAAAUCUCCUUAUAUUUUAAAAGUUUAUUUAAUUUGAUGAUAAUUAAAUUAUAAUUACAAAAAUUAAUUAAUCUAAUUUUUUGUAAUAUCUCUUGCCGAAAAUAAAUGAUACCUAUGCACGGUGGCGUGUUUUUAUCACUGCGUUAUCAGCGGUUAUCAACGUUUACCUGCAACGAGGAUAAACAUCGCGCUCGCCGAGAGAAGGCUCCCGGUUCUCUUGUUCGAGCGCAAUGGCAAAGAUAGUAAUUAAGUGACAUUAAUUGGGUCGUUACGCGAUGGCAAAGUGACUCUGCUGUAAAUAACUUCCGCAAUUAGCGUUAUGCCCUCCUCAUCGUCGUUGUACUAUUCGCGCCGUGCAUUGCGUUCCCGCGCGCGUUAUCCCGACAGAAAUAAUUACAUGUGUGGUGCUUAUGCACGUAACUCGCGAUGAAUUCCUCAUGUAUGCGCACGUUACACGCUACGUUGCGUGCGUUAGUCGCUCUUCAGUAUGGUGAUUGCGAUGGCGCUUAAUGAAAACAGUUGUAAAAUAUCAAGAUGAUAAAAAGGAUAUUUAUAUAUGAUUCGAAAUCUAAAUACACGUGCUUUAUUUUAUUUUAUCAAGUAGAAAUGUUAAAUGAACGAAUGAACAUAUGUAUACAUAUAAUGAGAAAGCUUGUGAAUUCGUGUAUGAUGUAAAUUUUCGGGAAUUAAGUCCAAGCAUAUAAUAAGAUACAUUGUAUUUUGAUUAUCUAAUAAAGUUUUUGAUCGUCUA
rnacentral:lncRNA from 1 species